UUAACUAUUAUAUAGUACUCAGACGACACUAAUAUUCAGAGUUUGGGGUCCUCUGGCGGGCGCUUACCAGCCGGAGCCGGUAGCCUGACCGAGGCCGAGACGGCCCGCCAAAGCAACAAAGGUAAUGAUAACAUAGGGUGGGAAUUCUACCCCGAAGGGCAUGAACUCGGUAAUGAUCCCUCCGCAGGUUCACCUACGGAGA
rnacentral:misc_RNA from 1 species